AUGAAUGGAAGGCUUUUGCAGGGU
rnacentral:piRNA from 1 species